AGUCUUACACUUGUACAUGAGGAUGGAAGCCAACCACGGGACCAAUGGGAAGUCAUGCAAGAAAAACCCCUCCAACCCUCAAGCUCUCUCUGUGACCACUCUCACUCACUCACUCUUUCUCUCUUGCUACCUUGCUCUCUUCUGUCUUACUCUCUUCACUCACUUUCCUUACCGAUUCACAAGCCCCCAUUCUCAUCAAUCUCAAGUCACCUUGAAAACCAAGGAGCAUGACAAGGCACCAAGGGGUUUUGAGUUCUUUAAGGUUUCAUGGUUGGGAGAUUACAAGGUGUUAUCUUGCAUGAUGGCCUAUCCACUUGAAUGAAUGGUGUAUUUGAGAUCAUGGUACUAAGGAUGGAGAACUUAAGUUUUAUUUAGUUGAAAAGAAAAAAUAUGUGUUGGUGUUUUGGUUUUCAGUUUUGUAAGUGUUGGUAUGUUACUUUGUAAGAGCAUGUUUUAGGGCUCUGUAUGUUGGGUUGGUCAUGAUGUUUAAACCUAUGAAUGUGGUGUAAGAGUUUUGUGAACUAAAGUUUGGUUUUCGAAAAA